UACGUAGGGGGCAAGCGUUGUCCGGAUUUAUUGGGCGUAAAGAGCGUGUAGGCGGUUAGGUAGGUCCGUUGUGAAAACUCGAGGCUCAACCUCGAGACGCCGAUGGAAACCAUCUGACUAGAGUCCGGAAGAGGAGAGUGGAAUUCCUGGUGUAGCGGUGAGAUGCGCAGAUAUCAGGAAGAACACCCGUGGCUAAGGCGGCUCUCUAGUACGGUACUGACGCUGAGACGCGAAAGCGUGGGGAGCGAACAGG
rnacentral:rRNA from 1 species